rnacentral:rRNA from 1 species
UAGGGAAUCUUCGGCAAUGGGGGCAACCCUGACCGAGCAACGCCGCGUGAGUGAAGAAGGUUUUCGGAUCGUAAAGCUCUGUUGUAAGUCAAGAACGAGUGUGAGAGUGGAAAGUUCACACUGUGACGGUAGCUUACCAGAAAGGGACGGCUAACUACGUGCCGGCAGCCGCGGUAAUACGUAGGUCCCGAGCGUUGUCCGGAUUUAUUGGGCGUAAAGCGAGCGCAGGCGGUUUGAUAAGUCUGAAGUUAAAGGCUGUGGCUCAACCAUAGUUCGCUUUGGAAACUGUCAAACUUGAGUGCAGAAGGGGAGAGUGGAAUUCCAUGUGUAGCGGUGAAAUGCGUAGAUAUAUGGAGGAACACCGGUGGCGAAAGCGGCUCUCUGGUCUGUAACUGACGCUGAGGCUCGAAAGCGUGGGGAGCGAACAGGAUUAGAUACCCUGGUAGUCCACGCCGUAAACGAUGAGUGCUAGGUGUUGGAUCCUUUCCGGGAUUCAGUGCCGCAGCUAACGCAUUAAGCACUCCGCCUGGGGGAGUACGACCGCAAGGUUG